UACGUAGGGGGCAAGCGUUGUCCGGAUUUAUUGGGCGUAAAGAGCCCGUAGGCGGUUUGUCGCGUCUGCCGUGAAAGUCCGGGGCUCAACUCCGGAUCUGCGGUGGGUACGGGCAGACUAGAGUGAUGUAGGGGAGACUGGAAUUCCUGGUGUAGCGGUGAAAUGCGCAGAUAUCAGGAGGAACACCGAUGGCGAAGGCAGGUCUCUGGGCAUUAACUGACGCUGAGGAGCGAAAGCAUGGGGAGCGAACAGG
rnacentral:rRNA from 1 species